CGGACAUGAGUACCGAAAUCCAAGUCACAUAGGUUCAAAUACAACGUUUAUAUUAUUAACACUAGUCAAUUAAAAACUUUAAACAAAAGGAAGGUAAAAGAAAAAAGAAAGGGAAAAAAAGAAGUGAAAAGGGUAAGCCAAGAAACGGGUGAAAGGAAACCCUUGGAGAUGGAUCGGAAAAGGGGGAAGUAGCAAUGUAGCAGCUAUUAAGAGCUUCAUUGAAGAAACUGAAAACCCUAAUUCAACGCAGAUAUGUCUGAUAACGUUUCCUUGGAGUAGAAGGAGUUACCCCGUGACAUAAAUUUUGAGACGGUGAAUGAUAUUCAAAUUAUACAACCUCCCAUUAUCCAAAGUCGCGAUGGAUGUACCUUUGCAGCUACAACAAAGUAUAUGGACUAUUAGUUGUGGAUGAUAUAUGCUGAAGCGUGUCCCCCAACAACCUUGCUCCAGGAUGUAUGUCUUUUUGAUCAUAAGGUUUGAGAGGAAAAAGUUAGGGAUGUGUAUGGUAUGACUCCAGAAGGAAGGUCUAGUUGGAAACCCGAAGAACUACUGAAAGACGCUAGAUCUCAUAGAAUUCCUUUGUUUAAUGGAGAGACGCAUUUCAUACAAUACACUAUGUCCCCUUACCUUAGGACGGAAGAAGAACAAAUUUUGGCUGUAAAAAAGUUUCUGGACCAUUCCCAUAUGGUUUGGGCCUUUGGGGGUCUAUCAUGGUGAUGGAGAAAAAGAAAUGAACAAAUACGUAAAUGCAUAUGGGAAGAGGGUUAACAGAAAGACUCAUCAUUGUAUCAUAUGUUUGGAUUACUUUGAGUAUCAUAAUGUGCUAUAUGUGCGUUAUCAGAACCAAGUUAGCGACCCCGAUAAAACUGAUAUGAGCCUAUGUAAGAGAGGAAUUUCUUAGACGAAUGCUAAGAACUUGACGGAGUUGCACUUUGGAGCAUCUCUCUCCCUUGUCCAUCCCCAACAUGUGCUACAAUCCAAGUUUCAACUUGAAACACUAUUCCAAGAGACACAAAACACGAUGGAAGUUGUUAAUGCCAUGCAAAAGUCUAAAGUUGAGAGUCAGACGUUACAUACAAGUGCUGCUUUACAAAUUUAUAAAUGAAAAGGGAAGUGGUGCAGUGGAUUUUGUCACACAACCAAAAGUAUACUCAGGUUAUAGCAACAUGCGGGUUUCGAACCUUCUUAUGUUAGUUUUUUCAUUUAUUUUCUCUUUUCAUUUCUUUGAUUUUUUUUAAUAGAAAUUUCUUUGUAUUACUCACGCUUAAGAUACAAUGCGUUAUAAUUUAUUCUCAA